rnacentral:rRNA from 1 species
GAUCAUGGCUCAGGAUGAACGCUAGCUACAGGCUUAACACAUGCAAGUCGAGGGGAAACGGCAUCGAAAGCUUGCUUUUGAUGGGCGUCGACCGGCGCACGGGUGAGUAACGCGUAUCCAACCUGCCCACCACUUGGGGGAUAACCUUGCGAAAGUAAGACUAAUACCCAAUGACAUCCCACGAAGACAUCUGAAUGAGAUUAAAGAUUUAUCGGUGAUGGAUUGGGAUGCGU